rnacentral:rRNA from 1 species
AUGUGGUGGUAUCUCAUUGUGGCUCUAAUUUGCAUUUCUCUAGGGCAGAUUAAAAAGUAAAGUUGGUGACCCACUUCAGGAAUAGUGCCAGAUGGGAAGUUUGGAAAAGUACACCUGUCAGAGGACAAGAGAAGUUUCUUAAGGCAGGCCCAGAGAGGACAGAAACCCCCCAUGGAGCAGAAGGGCAAAAGCCCACUUGGUCUUAAUUUUCAGCACAAAUACAGACCAUGAAAGUGUGGCAUCAUGAUCCUUCUGGUCUUUCGGGGUUUAAGCAAGAGGUAUCAGGAAAGUGAGAGAACUGGCUGUGGCAGCCAGCAUGCAUAGUAACUUUCUCUUUUGAUCCCUCAAUGUAGAUUAUUCUUAUCAUUGUUCACCCACUAAUAGGGAACAUGAACCUGGUUUAAACUGUUAUGAGUUAGUUUUAUCCUACUGAU